rnacentral:rRNA from 1 species
UACGUAGGGUGCAAGCGUUGUCCGGAAUUAUUGGGCGUAAAGAGCUCGUAGGCGGUUUGUCGCGUCUGCUGUGAAAACUCGGGGCUUAACCCUGGACCUGCAGUGGGUACGGGCAGACUAGAGUGCGGUAGGGGUGACUGGAAUUCCUGGUGUAGCGGUGGAAUGCGCAGAUAUCAGGAGGAACACCGAUGGCGAAGGCAGGUCACUGGGCCGCAACUGACGCUGAGGAGCGAAAGCAUGGGGGAGCGAACAGG